GAUUGUUGGAUGAAAGAUGCAAGAAGUCAAUGAGAUGACUCAGGAGGAAAAAGAACUUGCUGCCACGCCUGGGGACCUACUAAGUUCCAUCCCAGGAUCCACACAAUGAGAGGAGAGAGCAGACUACCAUAAAUCGUCCUGUGACCUCCAUGCACAUUAGUUAAUUAAUUUUAAUAAGUGCAAUAGAAGAAAGAGCUUCUUCACGGUGGCCCUCUGUCUAAGAAAGCCAUGACCAGGAUCCACCCCAUUCUUUGCCCACCCUUUGCAAUCCAGGGAUAUUAUGGCAGAACACAGACUAGCAAUGGCUACUUUA
rnacentral:lncRNA from 1 species